rnacentral:rRNA from 1 species
CCUACGGGUGGCUGCAGUGGGGAAUAUUGCACAAUGGGCGCAAGCCUGAUGCAGCCAUGCCGCGUGUGUGAAGAAGGCCUUCGGGUUGUAAAGCACUUUCAGCGGGGAGGAAGGCGUUAAGGUUAAUAACCUUGGCGAUUGACGUUACCCGCAGAAGAAGCACCGGCUAACUCCGUGCCAGCAGCCGCGGUAAUACGGAGGGUGCAAGCGUUAAUCGGAAUUACUGGGCGUAAAGCGCACGCAGGCGGUCUGUCAAGUCGGAUGUGAAAUCCCCGGGCUCAACCUGGGAACUGCAUUCGAAACUGGCAGGCUAGAGUCUUGUAGAGGGGGGUAGAAUUCCAGGUGUAGCGGCGAAAUGCGUAGAGAUCUGGAGGAAUACCGGUGGCGAAGGCGGCCCCCUGGACAAAGACUGACGCUCAGGUGCGAAAGCGUGGGGAGCAAACAGGAUUAGAUACCCGAGUAGUC